GAUGAAGAACGUAGCGAAAUGCGAUAAGUAAUGUGAAUUGCAGAUUUCCAGUGAAUCAUCGAAUCUUUGAACGCACCUUGCGCCCCUUGGUAUUCCGAGGGGCAUGCCUGUCCGAGCGUCAUUGCUGCCCUCAAGCACGGCUUGUGUGUUGGGCCUCCGUCCUCCUCCCGGGGGACGGGCCCGAAAGGCAGCGGCGGCACCGCGUCCGGUCCUCGAGCGUAUGGGGCUUCGUCACCCGCUCUUGUAGGCCCGGCCGGCGCUUGCCGACACAUCAAUCUUUUUUCCAGGUUGACCUCGGAUCAGGUAGGGAUACCCGCUGAACUUAAGCAUAUCAAUAAGCGGAGGA
rnacentral:misc_RNA from 1 species